rnacentral:misc_RNA from 1 species
CAGACGUUCCUUACGUAUACCUCCCAACCCAUUGUUGAAUAUACCUAUUGUUGCUUCGGCGGGCCUUGCCCCGGGCGCCUCGCUGCUGCCCGGAUCAGGGCCCGCCAUAGGAACCUAAACUCUGUUUAUUUGGAAUAUUCUGAGUAGCUUAUUACAAUAAUUAA